AUCCGACUGAAGAGUCCAAAGCAAGACGAAAUGUGCAUCCUGGAU
rnacentral:hammerhead_ribozyme from 1 species